UGAUCAUGGUUCGAGUUAUCUAGAGGAUCACAUGAAUUAAGGUGUGACUAUCCCCCUCCUACAUCAUUCACAUGUUGGUUAUUUUAGUACAUAUAAAUGUGUUUUUAUAAUUUACAGGUAGGAGUUAAAUCCGAUGCCAUCAACUUGUGUCUCUCACUAAUGGGGCGUUGUAUCGGAAUCUGUGAUGCCAGAAGCAGCAGUUUACAGAAGAAACUCAGCCAGGACUUGUAGCACUCAAAGAUGCAGCAAAGAAGCUGAUCAAGCUCAGCCUCUGCUUCAGACCGCUAGAAAAUGCAAUAAAAGACUCUCAAGAGAGCCUGAUAGCAAAGGGCUACCUUGCUCCACCUACCCAAUAAAUCCAAUUCUGUUGAUCUUUACCAUUAUGGUCAUGGAAUUAACCGUGUUUCAUAAAUUGUUAGUACCAGUGACUAAGAUCUUUGUUCUGAAAAAAUAAAUUUGGUGUAGUUCUUAUUUCAA